UGGGGAAUCUUGCGCAAUGAGCGAAAGCUUGACGCAGCAACGCCGCGUGGGGGAAGAAUGCCUUCGGGUUGUAAACCCCUUUCAGGAGGAACGAAGGAUCGGCCGUUAAUAGCGGUCCGGUUUGACGGUACCUUCAGAAGAAGCCCCGGCUAACUACGUGCCAGCAGCCGCGGUAAUACGUAGGGGGCAAGCGUUGUCCGGAAUCAUUGGGCGUAAAGCGCGCGUAGGCGGCUCGAUAAGUCUGCUGUGAAAGUCAAAGGCUCAACCUUUGAAAGCCGGUGGAAACUGUCGAGCUAGAGUCCGGAAGAGGCGAGUGGAAUUCCUGGUGUAGCGGUGGAAUGCGCAGAUAUCAGGAAGAACACCAACGGCGAAGGCAGCUCGCUGGGACGGUACUGACGCUAAGGCGCGAAAGCGUGGGGAGCAAACAGG
rnacentral:rRNA from 1 species